AUAUUGAUAAAUAUGAAUAUCCAGAAAAGCUGUAUAUUAUGUUAUAAAAUCUAUUUCUGAUUGAAAAACUACAGAACUAUUUUGGUAAUCACGUCGCGCAGGAAUAAAUUUGUGUUUGGGUAUAAAUACCAAAUGUCGUGAUAAACAGUAUUUACGCAGCAAAGACGAACGAGAAUGGUUGAGAAACGCUACAGUCGAAUUCUUCAAGUUCAAGUUGAUAACAUGGACAGGCAAGAACAUCACAUAAGUUGUACAUGGUAUAUAGUACUAGCUACAUGAUAGAAAUGAUGAGGAUUAAAUCAGAUGUGAUGCACAUGGGAUAAAUCAUGGGCUAAACCCAGACCCUGAACCUUUCUGAAUCCUAGAUGGCUUUUUGAAGGAAAUGGUUGACAAUGAUGUUGCAUUGUCUUGAGGGUUUUAGUUGCAUGGGGAAUGUCGACUUCUGGAAAUAUGUGGACCCUAGUGUUUGUUGUCCGGAGGAAGAUACUAAGGCAUUGAAGUGAUAGAAAAUCUGUUGGUUAUAGAAUAGAAGAGGGGCAUUGAAGAUAAAUAAGUGGGCAGUUUUAUCAUCUUUAAAUAGAUUUUCAUUGAGAUAGUUUCAAUUUUGCCAUAGAUAAUUGAAAAAGUUUCAGGUUCAAAAGGACAGUACCAUAUACUUGCAGCAAAUAAUUGUUUCUUGUGCAUUAUCCCCAUAUGCAUUUAGAUCCCUGAUGUCUGACGUCCUGCCUUGAUGUUUUCUUUUGUCUAUUGAUUUAGAUUUUAAACAACUUAUUAUUCAUGGAUUUAUUAUUUGGAUUUUGAUUGUGCUAUCUAGUAAUACAUGCAGUGUUGUAGAUUUUUUUCCCAUUGGGACCAUCAUCUUAGCAUGGGAAUGACCUACCACCUUCAUUGCAGAUAUAAACGGGAAUGGAAUGAAUAGACUUGAAAGAAAUAAAUUGAACGAUAUAUUAAAUAUUUGAAAACAA